rnacentral:rRNA from 1 species
AUUGAACGCUGGCGGCAGGCUUAACACAUGCAAGUCGAGCGGUAACAGGAGAAGCUUGCUCCUCGCUGACGAGCGGCGGACGGGUGAGUAAUACUUAGGAAUCUACCUAGUAGUGGGGGAUAGCUCGGGGAAACUCGAAUUAAUACCGCAUACGACCUACGGGAGAAAGGGGGCAACUUGUUGCUCUCGCUAUUAGAUGAGCCUAAGUCGGAGUAGCUAGAUGGUGUGGUAAAGGCCUACCAUGGCGAGGAUCUGUAGCUGGUCUUAGAGGAUGAUCAGCCACCCCGGGACGGAGACACGGCCCGGACUCCUACGGGAGGCAGCAGUGGGGAAGAUUGGACAAUGGGGGCAACCCUGAUCCAGCCAUGCCGAGUGUGUGAAGAAGGCCUUUUGGUUGUAAAGCACUUUAAGCAGUGAAGAAGACUCUAGGGUUAAUACCCUUAGACGAUGACAUUAGCUGCAGAAUAAGCACCGGCUAACUCUGUGCCAGCCGCCGCCGUAA